GUGGGGAAUUUUGGACAAUGGGGGCAACCCUGAUCCAGCCAUUCCGCGUGAGUGAAGAAGGCCUUCGGGUUGUAAAGCUCUUUCGGCAGGAACGAAACGGCGCGCUCUAACAUAGCGUGUCAAUGACGGUACCUGAAGAAGAAGCACCGGCUAACUACGUGCCAGCAGCCGCGGUAAUACGUAGGGUGCGAGCGUUAAUCGGAAUUACUGGGCGUAAAGCGUGCGCAGGCGGUUUCGUAAGACAGAUGUGAAAUCCCCGGGCUUAACCUGGGAACUGCGUUUGUGACUGCGAGACUCGAGUGCGGCAGAGGGGGGUGGAAUUCCACGUGUAGCAGUGAAAUGCGUAGAGAUGUGGAGGAACACCGAUGGCGAAGGCAGCCCCCUGGGUCGACACUGACGCUCAUGCACGAAAGCGUGGGGAGCAAACAGGAUUAGAAACCCCAGUAGUCC
rnacentral:rRNA from 1 species